CCGGCCUAGAGGGAAGGAGAUAGAGAGUAGGCAUUUUCUAGAGAGAGAAAGAAGAAGAAGAAGAAGAAGAAGAAGAAGAAGAAGAGGAAGAAGAAGAGGAAGAAGAAAGAAGAGGGGACUGAAUCUUUCUAUAGGAUUUGAGCAAGGUGGUGACCAUAGUUGGUUCAUGUGUUCUCUCAAGGAAGCGUGAUGAAUACGACACAACAAAGGGGUUGCUAAGGAUAUGAAGACGUAACUCGAGUUACUAAGGAUAUAAAGACGUAACUCAUAGGACGAACGCGCCGAGGUUAUUCAAGGACCAGAGAUCCUGUUUACCUCAAGAUGUAACAUGGACAAGAUAGUGAGUCAUGUUCACAAGUAUAUGAUGAUGAUGCUUAUGAUGAUAAUGUUAUGAUGAUUAUGUAUAUGAUGAUGAUGCUUAUAUUGCUAAUGUUAUGAUGACAAUGUAUAUGAUGA